AUCAAGGGAGAUCUUAGUUUAAAUCGGGUUAUAAUUAUGAUCCUUAUGUUUGUCUAGCUCAUUGGAAACGGACCCUGUGUUUGUAAGCAUAACAGCGAAUAUGCCUUGGCUAGGUGGAAGGAGAAGGAAGAUCCUUUUCUAGAACAGUGUGUGAUCCUGCCUUUGUAUCUUUUCUGAUUGAUGCUAGGCAUGGAUCUCGAGUAAUCUUCCGGUGAUGAGCCAAGAAACUNNN
rnacentral:lncRNA from 1 species